AGGACGAACGCUGGCGGCGUGCUUAACACAUGCAAGUCGAACGGAAAGGCCCGCUUGCGGGUACUCGAGUGGCGAACGGGUGAGUAACACGUGGGCAACCUGCCCUCAGCUUCGGGAUAACACUUGGAAACAGGUGCUAAUACCGGAUAAUAACCUUUCAUCGCAUGGUGUGGGGUUCAAAGUUUUUCGGCUAGGGAUGGACUCGCGGCCUAUCAGCUAGUUGGUGAGGUAACGGCCCACCAAGGCGACGACGGGUAGCCGGCCUGAGAGGGCGACCGGCCACACUGGGACUGAGACACGGCCCAGACUCCUACGGGAGGCAGCAGUGGGGAAUAUUGCGCAAUGGGCGAAAGCCUGACGCAGCGACGCCGCGUGGGGGAUGAAUGCCUUCGGGUUGUAACCCCUUUCAGCAGGGACGAAGCGAAAGUGACGGUACCUGCAGAAGAAGCGCCGGCUAACUACGUGCCAGCAGCCGC
rnacentral:rRNA from 1 species